GACGAACGCUGGCGGCGUGCUUAACACAUGCAAGUCGAGCGAUGAAAUCCCUUCGGGGAUGGAUUAGCGGCGGACGGGUUAGUAACACGUGGGCAACCUGCCUCAAAGUGGGGGAUAGCCUUCCGAAAGGGAGAUUAAUACCGCAUAACAUUAGUUUUUCACAUGAAGUACUAAUUAAAGGAGUAAUCCGCUUUGAGAUGGGCCCGCGGCGCAUUGGCUAGUUGGUGAGGUAACGGCUCACCAAGGCCACGAUGCGUAGCCGACCUGAGAGGGUGAUCGGCCACAUUGGAACUGAGACACGGUCCAGACUCCUACGGGAGGCAGCAGUGGGGAAUAUUGCACAAUGGGCGAAAGCCUGAUGCAGCAACGCCGCGUGAGUGAUGAAGGCCUUCGGGUUGUAAAGCUCUGUCUUUGGGGACGAUAAUGACGGUACCCAAGGAGGAAGCCACGGCUAACUACGUGCCAGCAGCCGCGGUAA
rnacentral:rRNA from 1 species